GAUGAACGCUGGCGGCGUGCCUAAUACAUGCAAGUCGAGCGAACGGACGAGAAGCUUGCUUUUCUGAUGUUAGCGGCGGACGGGUGAGUAACACGUGGAUAACCUACCUAUAAGACUGGGAUAACUUCGGGAAACCGGAGCUAAUACCGGAUAAUAUUUUGAACCGCAUGGUUCAAAAGUGAAAGACGGUCUUGCUGUCACUUAUAGAUGGAUCCGCGCUGCAUUAGCUAGUUGGUAAGGUAACGGCUUACCAAGGCAACGAUGCAUAGCCGACCUGAGAGGGUGAUCGGCCACACUGGAACUGAGACACGGUCCAGACUCCUACGGGAGGCAGCAGUGGGGAAUCUUCCGCAAUGGGCGAAAGCCUGACGGAGCAACGCCGCGUGAGUGACGAAGGUCUUCGGAUCGUAAAACUCUGUUAUUAGGGAAGAACAUAUGUGUAAGUAACUGUGCACAUCUUGACGGUACCUAAUCAGAAAGCCACGGCUAACUACGUG
rnacentral:rRNA from 1 species